rnacentral:rRNA from 1 species
UUGAUCCUGGCUCUAGAUUGAACGCUGGCGGCAUGCCUUACACAUGCAAGUCGAACGGCAGCACGGGGGCAAUCCUGGUGGCGAGUGGCGAACGGGUGAGUAAUACAUCGGAACGUGUCCUGUAGUGGGGGAUAGCCCGGCGAAAGCCGGAUUAAUACCGCAUACGCUCUACGGAGGAAAGGGGGGGAUCUUAGGACCUCUCGUCUACAGGGGCGGCCGAUGGCAGAUUAGCUAGUUGGUGGGGUAAAGGCCUACCAAGGCGACGAUCUGUAGCUGGUCUGAGAGGACGACCAGCCACACUGGGACUGAGACACGGCCCAGACUCCUACGGGAGGCAGCAGUGGGGAAUUUUGGACAAUGGGCGCAAGCCUGAUCCAGCAAUGCCGCGUGUGUGAAGAAGGCCUUCGGGUUGUAAAGCACUUUUGUCCGGAAAGAAAACCUCUGGGUUAAUACCCCGGGGGGAUGACGGUACCGGGAAGCAAUAGCACCGGCUAUACUAUCG